rnacentral:lncRNA from 1 species
CUCAAUCUGAAAAUUCUAGCUCCGCCCGGUGAUGAUUUUCUAGAUGACCAUGGUGACGGACGUGGAGGGUAUGGCCACGGACAUGGAGGGUAUGGCCAUGGCCACCACGGCAAAGGGGGGCCUUGUGCUGCUGAGACUGAAACCAAGAAUUAGAUAACCUGUUAGUUUGUGACUUACGUUGCAGGUGUGUUGUAAGGGUUGUGGUACAAAAUAAAGUUGUUUGGUUGAGUAAUCUAUAUGAACUCUCAAUCAUAGACUCUUCUUAAGCUUGUUCUCGUGUUCUCUGUAAUGUACGCAUUGGAAUGUGUUCUCUUGUUAUGUGAUAAAAUGUGAUUUAACUUGCUCAAUACAUAUUAUGUCAAAAAUGUUUAGUAUGGCUUGGCUCCUUAAAAUUGAGAGGGAGCACAUCCUCACAACAAACGAGAUUUUGGCACUAGUUAAACUUCACAAAAAUUAAAUUUAAAAAAAAAAAAAAAAAAAGAUUAAAAGAACUCAGAAGAAAAAAAAUUAAAGGAAUUUGCCAAGUGUCAAACCUCUAUUUGUUUUGAGGAGGAACUGCUCCUCAGUUUUAUGGAGCCAAACCUUUUCCUAAUAUUAAUGGAGUUCAUGUAUGACUCAUUUGUUUUGUGUGAUCACCAUUUGGUUAAUGAAUUGUGCGCAAAAUUUAAUAGGAUACGGAUCAUCUGCUAUGAUUUUAGUCCCCUAAUAGAAUGGAUCCUACUUUGGAGCACAUGUGGUAUCGGUAGUUCCUACUCGCACUCACAAAUACAUAUUGGUUGGUCCAUUAAAAUGCAAAUAUCACCUCUCAUAUCAUUAUGCGAACAUUGGGAACAAGAGUAGUGUUUCCACCGUUGACAAGGGAUGGAAGAUCUAGCUCGACGGAAAAAUAAGGAGUAAAACUUAUAGAAGCAUGCAUGCCGUGUAUGUAUUGUUGUUAUCAUGGAUACUAAUUUGGCAAUUAAUUUUCUAAUGGGUGAAUUAAAAAAACAUUUUUAAUCUAUAUAUGUAAAGUUAAAUAUCCUUUCUUGAUGAACAAUUUGUAAUUGCAUCUCUGUAAUUUUUAUGGGUUUGUGUUCUUGGUGGUUGACUAGUCAUUGUAUGAAUGUUGAAUAUGAGUAAGGUUCAUGGAGACAAAAUUGGUUUUGGUUAUGGUUGUUCUAGUUUAUGCGUUCCUCCUUCUUUGACCACAUUUGUCAAGGAGUCAAAUAAAAAAUUUGAUGUUUUAGAGCCAACUAGGACUCAAAGAUUCAUUCCUACUUGUCACCAUUGUGGUGUGAAAGGUCACAUCCAACCUAGGUGUAAUGCUCUAAGGAAUGUGUCUAGAGCAACCAAUGCAAAUGGCUUUAAGAACCAUGUUUCAUCUCUUAAAACAUGUGAGCUUGCAAAAUCUGUUCUUUGUAAAAGGGAUAAACCAAAAAGGUUCAUUCCUACUUGCCAUCAUUGUGGCACAUUGGGACACAUAAGAUCAAAGUAUUUUGAGUUUAGGAAUUUUGAGAAAAAGUCUUUUGUUCAUUUCAAGAAAGUAAAUGAUGACUCACUUCAAGUUGAAGCCAUGGCAGAGGCAUGAGAGGCGAGAAAGACUAUGUACUUUUAUAGUGUUAUCCCCGACUAAUAACACCAUAACAUUCGUGAUAAUAUUUUAAUGUGGAAUAAUAUUAUUGAUCGAAUAUAACAAAAUAGUACUAUCCCCGUUGCGACUACGUUUUUAUCCGUGGACUGCUAGGCUUACCUAGUCUUUAAAAUGCAGUUGAAGAAUUUAUUAUUAUGAAAAUGACGUGAGAGAGGGAGGGGGUCAUAUAUUUUCAGAAUAAUUUUGCUAAAAAACGAAAGCAGAAGAAUUAAUUAUUAUGAAAAUGACGUGUAAUAAAACCACAGGUUGUGUGACAUUGCCGUACAUGCAGUCGGUGAGUCCACAGACGAACAUGCAUUUGUUUUGAGUCACAUUAAUUAAGCAGUGAAUGGGGGCACUAGUUGUCCAUCUUUAUAUGACCCAAUGACUUAAGAUAUCUAUAUAUAUGCAUACGGACUUUAAAAAGUAGAAGCAAUACAGCCUUAGAAAGGCAGUGCGUGCAUGGAAAAAGAUUAUUAGGUAACGAUAUAAAUUUACGGUACCUAAUACAUUAGCGCUAAUUGAUAAUUUUUUGAUACUCUAAUAAUAAUAUUGACAAUUAGUGUCGAAAUAUCAGGUACGAUAAGUGUCGAAUUGAGAAUAUAUUAGGUACGAUAAAUUGAUAUUAAGUAUUUCGUCGGUAGUUGGUAGGUACUUAGUAGCUAUCAAGUAAAUAUUAUAUGAGAUACGAAGAUCAACAUGAAUUAUAUCUUUGUAAUUUAGUAGCUAUGCUUGUAUCUGGUCCUGAUUUGCAUAUCUAUUAUUAGGUAAAAUACUUUGAAAUUAUUGAACUUUAAACAUUUUCAUUAAUCAAAGGGCUAUUAAGAACCCAAAGGCAAAUAUAAUGGUUUACGUGGGUGGGUAUGGAACUUGUGUGUAUUCUUUGACCUUGUCAAUCUUAUUAAUGAGUGUUGGUUGGUGGGGUCCCGAUUUGCAUAUCAAUUAUUAGGUAAAUUACUUUGAAAAAGCACAAAUCGUCAAAGUUUGUGGACAUGAGGGAUAGAUACUGUGGCUGGAUUGUCAACAAUGACAGAGUGAACGACUUUUCUUCAUGGUGUGCUUUAGCUACAUCUUCUAUCCUUCUGCGUUGGUCACAUUCAUGUAAUCUUGUACAUGAAGCAACUUACCACAAAGGCUACCAAAACUUUAAUAACUAUAGGUCCUACUACCUGUGCAUUUUUACUUGACUAAUACAAUUAGUGUAAAUGUCCUUUUACUAUAUAAUUAGGUAUAUCCAUACAAAAUAAAUCUUUAAUCUUGAACAUAUUUAUACAUGAUAUACGGAUUCUAUGACUCACAAAGAAAACCUACCAUACAUUUGUGUUUAUGUUUAAUCUCAUUUUCUCUUUUGUAAUUCCAUCUACUUUUCAUAAGAAUUUGUUUGAACCAAUUUAUAUAUAAAAACUACCCUUGUUUUUAGAUGAUUAUUGUGGUAGGAUGAAAUCAACAAAAUAGACAAACACGGUAUUUCAAGAAAAGACUAUAAUAACAACUAUCUAAUUGAAUGAUCAAAUAGUUUCGGAUCCAAGUGAUUGUCGCAAAGAUGAUCUUUGAAGAAAUAUCUAAAAACUAAAUGGUAUCGGAUUAUUGGAAUGCAAGGUGAGUCUUAUAAGAGUGUCCUUCAAAUAAGCUUAUUUGAGAAAUCCCUCAACUAAAGUCAUAUCAGUCUCCUUCUAACAGUAUAUAUAUACACACCACACCUUUUGUGAAAAUCUAAAAAUACUAAAUUAGGAAUGAAAACUGACAGUUAAAGAACUCUCGUGAUCACUCUACAAGAUUGUGACCUGAAUGAUGAAUCAGCAGCUUAAGUUUCAGCCUGUUUGCCACAUACCUUGAAAGUAUCCCACCCAAUUAAUCACACAAAAACAACUUCUUUUGACUUGAUCACACAAGACAACUUAGCUAGCUUUUAUUGUCCCGCCUCUAAUAAAAGCUUACUUAAUACGUAGUCCCAUCAACCCUACCAUCAAAGUAGGGGUUGAAUUUGGCGCUCUUUAACCUUUAAUCACCACAAGAGUCACAAAUUCUUCUCUUCUCUCUCCUUAUCUUUCCAACCCCACUGAUAUCUCAUAAAGGUCUAUAAAUAGGGACAACCAAGCCAUAUUAUACUCACUCAUCAAUCAUCUCUUGCAUACUUUCAUAUAUACAUUAUCGUGCUUGUUGUUAAGCAAAACAUGGCAUCCUCAAAGGCUUUUCUUCUUCUUGGUCUUGUCUUUGUUGUUCUCCUCAUCUCCUCUGAGGUCUCAGCUACUCCAACUCGUGAGUUUCUCACUUUCUUAACUAAAUUAUAUAUAUUAAAUUAGUAAUUGUAUCUUUCUUUCCAGUAACGAUUUGUGAAUUUAGGCACAUUUUAAUUAAGGUGCACUGGUCGUGAAAAUGAUUAUGCUUUGAACUCUUUUUCUGCAUGUAGGGUUAGUGGUUGUUGCACUUGCAUGGCUUAAUUUGCACCUUAUUAAAUACAAACUGAUCCAUGAUUGUUAUAAGUUAUGUAUAUGUUUUUGCUUUAUAUAUAAAAUUUUUGUUUGUUCUCUCAGAGGAGAGUAUAGUCAACGGUGAUGGCCACGGACAUGGAGAGUAUGGCCAUGGACAUGGAGGUUAUGGACACGGACAUGGAGGGCAUAACCACGGACAUGGAGGGUAUGGCCAUGGACAUGGAGGGUAUGGCCACGGCCACCACGGCAAAGGGGGGCCGGGUGCUGCUGAGACUGAAAUCGAGAAUUAGAUAACCUAUUAGUUUCUGUGACUUACGUUGCAGGUGUGUUGUAAGGGUAGUAGUACGAAAUAAAGUUGUUUGGUUGAGUAAUCUAUAUGAAAUCUCAAUCAUAGACUCGUCUUAAGCUUGUUCUCGUGUUCUCUGUAAUGUACGCAUUGGAAUGUGUUCUCUUGUUAUGUGAUAAAAUGUGAUGUAACUUGCUCAAUACAUAUAUUAUGUAAAAAAAAUGUUUAGUAUGGCUUGGAUGCUUAAAAUUGAGGGGAAGCACAUCCUCACAACAAAUGAGAUUUUGACACUUGUUAAAAUAACUUUACUUUUUCCUAAUAUUAAUCGAGUUUAUAUAUGACUCAUUUGUUUUGUAUGAUCACAUUUGGUUAAUGAAUUGUACACCAAAUCUAAUAGAAUAUCGAUCCUCUGCUAUGAUUUUAGUCCUUUAAUAAGAUGAAUCGUAAUUUGGAGCACAUUUGGUAGUUCCUACUCUCACUCAAAAAUACAUAUUGGUUGGUCCAUUAAAAUGCAAAUAUCACCUCUCAUAUCAUUAUGCGAACAUUGGGAACAAGAGUAGUGUUUCCACCGUUGGCAAGGGAUUGGAAGAUCUAGCUUGAUGGAAAAAUAAGGAGUAAAACUUAAAGAAGCAUGCAUGCCGUGUAUGUAUUGACGAUACUAAUUUGGCAAUUUCUAGUGGGUGAAUUAAAAAAACAUUUUUAAUCUAUAUAUGUAAAGUAAAAUAUUGUUGUAGUUAAAUUUUAAAAUAAUUCAUUUAAGAAAUUUGUGGUCAAUUUGUGAUUGCAGAGGUUCAAGAGAUUUGUGGUCACUUACUGUUGGAUGUAAAUUUAACGGUUCACUUACUCUUGCACUCCUUUUAAGAAACUUUUUUGAACUAUUGAAUGUUACAUCCAAAGGUGGGUGAUCACAAUCUCUUAGACCCCUAUAAUCCAAGAGAUCGAAACUAUUAAUAAGAUAUACAAAUGCAUGAACUAAUUUAGUUAAAUUGAUAACUCGAGGACUAAAGUGGCGAAUGAGUUAAAACAAAAGAACCAUUUCAACAUUUAAACCGAAAAAAACAUUUUGAUUAUGUGGGCUGCUUUCGCAAGAGAUAAAUAAAACCUCUUUUUCUACGACCUAGUGAUUUAUAAUAAAAUAUUAUUUAUCUUACUAUUUCUAUUGCAUGCUGCCAUAAGCCUUAUAUUUUUAUAUUGUAAUAGAGGUGAAACGCGUCACUCAAUGACUUUCAGUAUGGGCAGUAGCAAAAAUAUUAGAAAUUAAUUUAUGCAUAUGCUCAGUGCUCAAAUUUAAGGGAUGAAGCCACGUGAAGAUUUUGUUAUAUAAAAACAAAAAGAAGCAAAAAAGAAAAAUGGAAGGCCACCCCACGUGAAAUGGUGAAGCAACGGCUACAAUUACAAAGCAAACCAUCAACAAAGAAAUAAAAAAAAAAAAGCAAAAGGAAGCAUCCAAUGCAAAUUAUAAAAAAAAAAGUAAUAGGAAACCGUGCGAAUGCCAGUCUUCAUUCUUAAUAGCUACCAUGCCAAGUAUAUCAAUUUACGGUGCCUAAUACAUAGGGGUGGCAAUUUCGGAUACGACCCGAUACACGACUCGAAACCCGCACGAGAAAUUAGCGGGUUCAACCCGCACGAUAAAAAAACGGGUCAAUUUCGGGUCAACCCGUUCUGACCCGUUUAAUAAACGGAUGGGUUUCGGGUCAACCCGCUAACCCGCUAUAAUACCUAUCUAACCCGUUUAUUAAACGGGUCGUGUCAACCUGUGUACAACCCGUCAACCCGUCUCUUCUCCUUUUUUUUUCCUUCUUUCUUCUCUUCUCUCUUUUUUUUUUUCCUCUCUUUUCCUUUCCUCUUCUCUCUUUUUUUCUUCUCCUCUCUUUUUUUUUUCCUCUCUUCAGUUUUUUUUUUUCCUUCUUUCUUCUCUUCUCUCUUUUUUUUUCCUCUCUUUUCCUUUCCUCUUCUCUCUUUUUUUUUUCCUCUCUUUUCCUUUCCUCUUCUCUCUUUUUUUUUUCCUUCUCUUCAGUUUUCUCUCAUCUCUCUUUUUUCUGUCUUACUUUCCUUCAAUCUUCUCUCCUAUCUCUCUCUCUCUCUCUCUCUCUCUCUCUCUCUCUCUCUCUCUCUCUAUUUUUUUCUUUCUUUAGCUUCUCUCUUCUCUCCUCUCUCUAUCUUUUUUUUUUCUUUCUUUUCCUUAUAUUUUCUCUACUCUCUCUGUUUUUUUUUAAUUAAAAUUUUUUCGGUUGUGAGUUUUGUAACAUGCAUGUUAUUCUUUAUGAACCCGUUACACGACUCGAAACCCGCACGAUAAAAGACGACCCGAACCCGACACGACACGUUUAUUAAAUAGGUUGGGUUCGGGUUGAGCAUUCUUGACACGUUUAUUAUCCCGACACGACACGAACCCGACACGACCCGACCCAUUGCCAGCCCUACUAAUACAUUAAUUAGCACUAAUCGAUAAUUUUUUGAUACUCUAAUGAUAAUAUCGAUAAUUAGGAGUGUAUCCAAUUCAAAUUUUUAAUCACUUUUAUAGAGUUUAAAAGUUUGAAUGUAUUCAAUUUAGAUUUUUAAAGAGUUUAUAAAAGUCUAAUGGUAUUCAAUUGUGACUUUUAAAAAGUAGUUAAAGUAGUUAAAAGUUUUGUGGUAUCCAAAAAGUUAAUUAUUUUAAAAAAAGCUUAUUAAAUGAAUGACUUUUCUAUAAAAGUAUUUGAGCUAAUUGUUAAGAGCAAAAGUCUUGUUAAUUUAUACUAGUGACUUUUAUAAGUAUUUAAGAAUUUUUCAACUCUAUAAAAAUUACUCAUUUAAAAAAAAUCUUUAUAAGUAUGAAUUGGAUACACUUAAUAUUGAAUUCAUAAUAUAUCAGGUAUUGUAAAUUUAUAUUCCGUAUCAGGCAGUAAGUAGCUAUAUAGCCAUAGUUUCGAGUAAAUAUUAUAUGAGCUUUGAAGAUAAUUAACAUUUAUUCUCUUUGUACUUUAGUAGUUGGGGUUGUAUCUGGUCCUGAUUUUGCAUAUCUAUUAUUUGAUAAAGUCACCUCUGAAAAAGCACAAAUCAUCAAAGUUUGUGGACAUGAGAGAGAGAGAUUACUGUGGCUGGAUUGUCAACAAAGUGUGAAUGGCUUUUCUUCGUGGUCCUUUGGCUUCAUCUUCUACCCUUCUGCGUUGGUCACAUUCAUGUAAUUUUAUAAAGGAAGCCACGUACCACAAAGGCUACCAAGGGCUGAGUUGGAAUCCCAUUCUAAGUAAGGAUUCUUAUGGUUUCAAAUGAUCUAGUUACAUGAGAACUAGGAAAGGAGAACUUUCCCUACUUUGAACCCGACUCUUUGAUAUUAAGAAUGCUGGUUUUAAGAAUGAGUGAUUGCCCUUCUCCAACCCUUAUUGCCCAACCUAAAAGCAGACAGCUAAUGCAAUCCACUUAUUAAUAACUAUUGUAGAUUGAUCUAUAUUAAAUUGACUUGUAUUAAUAUAACUUUAUACACAGUACUAGAUAAUAUGGUAGAGAGAUUCAGAAACUUUAAUAAUUGUGACCACAAAAGGAAACAGUAUAGGUCCUACCUGUGCAUUUUUUCCUGCCUAAACCCUAAACACCUUUUGUUUUUGUGAUCAUCUAAACAUGCUAAAUUAAGAAUGAAAAUUGACAGUUAAAGACUCUCACGAUCACUCUACAAUACUGUGACCUGAAUGCUGAAUCAGCAACUUAAGUUUUAGCCCAUUUGCCACAUACCUCGAAAAUAUCCCAUCCAAUUUCAUGCAACUAAUCACACAAAAAAUAACUUCUUUUGACUUGAUCAAAAAAGACAGCUUAGGGCCCGUUUGAAAACCAUUUCAAUUUUAGUUUUUAGUUUUUUUUUUUUGUUAGAGUAUACAGGAAAAAGAAGGAGAAUGAAAUUGAGUGAAGAUGAGAUUGAGAGAGAAGAUGAAAAGAGAGGAUAAGAGGAAGGAGUGACAAAAGUGAAAACAAAAACUAAAAACUGAAAUAUAUUUGAAAUUGUUUUCACUUUUGUUCCUCCUCCCUCCCAUAUCCUCCCUUCUCAUCAUCUCCCUCAUCUCAAUCCUCACUCCCACUCUCAUUUUUCUCUAACAUUCUAGCACAAAAAAUGAAAACCAAAAACAAAAAUUGAAAUGUUUAUCAAAUAGCCCUUACCUUUCGCGUUCCCACCUUUAAGAGAUGCUUACUUAAUACGUAGUCCAUCUAAAGCAGAAAAAAAAAGCAUUGCUUGGUAAAGUCCAAAACCAAAAGAUUAAAAAUAGGGGUUGGGUUUGGCACUUUAUCCUUUAAUCGUACUUAUCUUCUGAUUUGAAAAAAAAAUCACAAAUUCUUCUUUUCUCUCUCCUUAUCUUUCCAACCCCACUGAUAUCUCAUAAAGGUCUAUAAAUAGGGAGAACCAAGCCACAUUAUACUCACUCAGCAAUCAUCUCUUGCAUACUUUCAUAUAUACAUUAUCGUGCUUGUUAAGCAAAACAUGGCAUCCUCAAAGGCUUUUCUUCUUCUUGGUCUUGUCUUUGCUGUUCUCCUCAUCUCCUCUGAGGUCUCAGCUACUCCAACUCGUGAGUUUCUCACUUUCUUAACUAAAUCAUAUAUAUUAAAUAGUAAUUGUAUCUUUCUUUCCAGUAACGAUUUGCGAGUUUAGGCUCAUUUUAAUUAAGGUGCACUGGUCGUGAAAAUGAUUAUGCUUCGAAUUUGUACUAGAUAUAUAUAGCAUUAGUGCUCUAAAAUAUAUUAAUUAUGAGAAUAUCUGGAUGUAAUUUACUCUUUCUGCAGGAAGGGCUAGUGGUUGUUGUACUUGCAUGGCUUAAUCUAUGAUGGUUAAGUGAUGUAUAUUUUAGAGACUAAUGCUAUUUGUAACACAUUUACUGACCAGAUUGCUGAUCACCUCUCUAAUAUAGAUGGGCCCCACAUAUACUGGUGAGGCCACCUCUAUUAGAGAGAUGGUCAGCAAUGUGGUUAGUAAAUGUGUUCCAAAUAGCAGCACUCUAUUUUUUUCUACAUAUUUUCUUGGGUGCUGAUUUUUCCACUCCUUUUUUGGUUUUUUAAUGCUUUUACUUUAACAUAUAAGGAAGUGUAAGUUGACAAAAUAUGAGUGGGAACAUACAAUUUCUAACAAAAGGAGUGUAAGUGGAUAAAAGAUAAGUGAUAAAAUCAGCUCUCUCUCUCUCUCUCUCUCUCUCUCUCUCUCUCUUUUUCUAUAUAUAUAAAGUUUUUGUUUGUUUUAUCAGAGGAGAGUACAGUCAACUAUGAUGACAAUUUUCUUGAUGAUCACGAGCAUGGGCAUGGGCAUGGACAUGACCAUAGGCACGUCCAUGGCCAUGGGCAUGACCACAGGCAUGGACGACAUGGCCAUGGCCACAAUGGCAAAGGGGGACCUGGUGCUGCUGAGACUGAAACCGAGAAUUAGAUAACCUGUUAGUUUCUGUAUUUAUGCUGCAGGUGUAUCGUAAGGGUAGUAGUAUGCAAUAAAGUUGUAAUGGUUUGAGUAAUAUCUAUAAACUCUCAAUCAUAGGUUCGCCUUAAGCUUGUUCUUGUGUUCUCUGUCAUGUACGGAUUGGAUCACCUUGUUAUGUA